rnacentral:rRNA from 1 species
ACGGAGGAUGCGAGCGUUAUCCGGAUUCAUUGGGUUUAAAGGGUGCGUAGGCGGACUGAUAAGUCAGUGGUGAAAUCCUGCAGCUUAACUGUAGAACUGCCAUUGAUACUGUUAGUCUUGAGUUUGGUUAAGGUAGGCGGAAUGUGUAAUGUAGCGGUGAAAUGCUUAGAUAUUACACAGAACACCGAUUGCGUAGGCAGCUUACUGGACCGACACUGACGCUGAGGCACGAAAGCGUGGGGAUCGAACAG